CACGUAGGGCGCGAGCGUUGUCCGGAAUUACUGGGCGUAAAGGGCGCGUAGGCGGCCUGCUAAGUCGGAUGUGAAAUCCCUCGGCUCAACCGAGGAACUGCAUCCGAUACUGGCGGGCUUGAAUCCGGGAGAGGGAUGUGGAAUUCCAGGUGUAGCGGUGAAAUGCGUAGAUAUCUGGAGGAACACCGGUGGCGAAGGCGGCAUCCUGGACCGGUAUUGACGCUGAGGCGCGAAAGCUAGGGGAGCAAACGGG
rnacentral:rRNA from 1 species